GAUGAAGAACGUAGCGAAAUGCGAUAACUAAUGUGAAUUGCAGAAUUCCGUGAAUCAUCGAAUCUUUGAACGCACAUUGCGCCCUUUGGUAUUCCUUAGGGCAUGCCUGUUCGAGCGUCAUUUAAACCUUCAAGCUAAGCUUGGUGUUGGGUGACUGUCCGCUUCACGGCGGACUCGCCUCAAAAUUAUUGGCGGCCGGUACAUUGGCUUCGAGCGCAGCAGAAACGCGAACUCGGGCCCGUCGUAUUGGCUCCCAGAAGCUAUCUUCACAAUUUUGACCUCGGAUCAGGUAGGGAUACCCGCUGAACUUAAGCAUAUCAAUAAGCGGAGGA
rnacentral:misc_RNA from 1 species